rnacentral:piRNA from 1 species
UUGAACCUUACUUUUGAGGUGAAAAGUGA